rnacentral:rRNA from 1 species
CGUAGGGUGCGAGCGUUAAUCGGAAUUACUGGGCGUAAAGCGUGCGCAGGCGGCGCCGCAAGUCAGGCGUGAAAUCCCCGAGCUUAACUUGGGAAUGGCGCUUGAAACUACGGUGCUGGAGUGUGGCAGAGGGAGGUGGAAUUCCACGUGUAGCGGUGAAAUGCGUAGAGAUGUGGAGGAACACCGAUGGCGAAGGCAGCCUCCUGGGCCAACACUGACGCUCAUGCACGAAAGCGUGGGGAGCAAACAGGAUUAGAUACCCUGGUAGUCCACGCCCUAAACGAUGAUGGCUAGUUGUUGGGGGAGUUAAAUCCCUUAGUAACGCAGCUAACGCGUGAAGUCAUCCGCCUGGGGAGUACGGUCGCAAGAUUA